ACUUUUAUAUUUGACAUACAUGUAAAGAAAUAUAAAGGCAAAUUGCCCCCUAUUUCCUGGGCCUCCCUCUAAGCGGCUGUGUCAUGACACAGCAAUACAAUUCUGCCAAAGCCUUAGAAUCGCACCUAAUUUAUGCUAGGAACACGAGUUAUUGGUAUUUUAGUCAUUUUAUGCUAGUACUUGGUAUUUUAGUCAUUUUAUGCUAUGUGAAGUACUUAUACCAAAGUCAAUAGAACUUAGUUCUAUUAACUGUGUUUAUACUAAAGGACACGGUCCAUUUUAAUUUAUCAUCAAAAUUG